GACGAACCGUGCAAACGUUGUUCGGAAUCACUGGGCGUAAAGCGCACGUAGGCGGAUGUGUCAGUCAGGGGUGAAAUCCCGGGGCUCAACCUCGGAACUGCCUUUGAUACAGCACGUCUCGAGUCCGGAAGAGGUGGGUGGAAUUCCUAGUGUAGAGGUGAAAUUCGUAGAUAUUAGGAAGAACACCGGUGGCGAAGGCGGCCCACUGGUCCGGUACUGACGCUGAGGUGCGAAAGCGUGGGGAGCAAACAGG
rnacentral:rRNA from 1 species